rnacentral:rRNA from 1 species
AGAACGAACGCUGGCGGCAUGCCUAACACAUGCAAGUCGAACGAGACCUUCGGGUCUAGUGGCGCACGGGUGCGUAACGCGUGGGAAUCUGCCCUUGGGUUCGGAAUAACAGUUGGAAACGACUGCUAAUACCGGAUGAUGACGUAAGUCCAAAGAUUUAUCGCCCAGGGAUGAGCCCGCGUAGGAUUAGCUAGUUGGUGAGGUAAAAGCUCACCAAGGCGACGAUCCUUAGCUGGUCUGAGAGGAUGAUCAGCCACACUGGGACUGAGACACGGCCCAGACUCCGUACGGGAGCAGCAGUGGGAAUAGUUAGGACAAGUGGGCGCUAAGGCCUGACUCCAGCAAUGCCGCGUGAGUGAUGAAGGUCCGUUAGGGUUAGUAAGUCUU